rnacentral:misc_RNA from 1 species
UAUCCGUAGGUGAACCUGCGGAAGGAUCAUUAAUGAGUUGUCAUGGGGUUCGAUGCUGGCAGCCAGUUUUUGGAUGCAUGUGCUUGCCCUAACAAUCAUCUUCUUCCAAACACCUGUGCACAUUUUUGAGGGAGUCUUGAGUUGGUUGCCGCUCUUGGGUGAUUUUCUCACAUUCCCUUAAAUCAUUAUACGCUAUUAACAAUGUUGAACGUGCUCUGUGCCGCAAGGCCAUUAAUAUAAUACAACUUUUAACAACGGAUCUCUUGGCUCUC